GACAGAGGGUGCAAACGUUGCUCGGAUUUACUGGGCAUAAAGCGCGUGUAGGCGGGCGACUAAGUCGGAUGUGAAAUCCCUGGGCUCAACCUAGGAACUGCAUUCGAAACUGGUCACCUAGAGUGAUGGAGAGGAAAGCGGAAUUCCCGGUGUAGAGGUGAAAUGCGCAGAUAUCGGGAGGAACACCAGUAGCGAAGGCGGCUCGCUGGGCCACACCUGACGCUGAGACGCGAAAGCUAGGGGAGCGAACAGG
rnacentral:rRNA from 1 species